CAAGGUUUCCGUAGGUGAACCUGCGGAAGGAUCAUUGUCGAGACCCUAAAGAGAUCGAGCGAUUUGACAACUUGUGAACUUCCUCAACAGCUCACUGACGCUGUUGCGCACCUGUCCAUCCUGUGCAUGAACAACCCGAUGGGAACAUGUUAUAGGCGGAGGGGAGAUCAAUUCGGCGCAGCUUUGCGCCAAGGUAAAUAUGUAGCAUGAGCAAAAUUUCAAACAUAUGUUAUUUUGCUCCUAAAGAGUUGUAGGGCUCUCGGCAAUGGAUAUCUUGGCUCUCGCAUCGAUGAAGAGCGCAGCGAAAUGCGAUACGUGGUGCGAAUUGCAGAAUCCCGUGAACCAUCGAGUUUUUGAACGCAAGUUGCGCCUGAGGCCAGCUGGCCAAGGGCACGUCCGCCUGGGCGUCAAGCAUUGAAUCGCUCCACAAGACUUCUGAUGCUAUGCAAUGGUCUCGUCUAGGAUGCGGAGAAUGGCCCGUCAUGCGCUGAUGUGUGGCAGGUUGAAGAACGGGGAUGAUUUUCUCUUGGCAUCGAUCGAUUAAUGGGUGGGAUGGAAGCCCCCAGGUGAUCCUCAUCAUCGUCAGGUUGCUUUGAGAAAGCUAUUCAUAUCCCGGGCUAACCCAACUCAAUUGUCAUUUGAAGAAAAUUGACAUGCGACCCCAGGAUGGGCGGGGUGACCCGCUGAGUUUAA
rnacentral:rRNA from 1 species